UACGAAGGGUGCAAGCGUUACUCGGAAUUACUGGGCGUAAAGAGCGUGUAGGCGGCCUUUUAAGUCCUGCGUGAAAUCCUGCGGCUCAACCGCAGACGGUCGUGGGAAACUGGAAGGCUAGAGUGCGGGAGAGGAGAGUGGAAUUCCUGGUGUAGCGGUGGAAUGCGCAGAUAUCAGGAAGAACACCCGUGGCGAAGGCGGGUCUCUGGGCAGUAACUGACGCUGAGGAGCGAAAGCGUGGGGAGCGAACAGG
rnacentral:rRNA from 1 species